rnacentral:rRNA from 1 species
GAUGGACGCUGGCGGCGUGCCUAAUACAUGCAAGUCGAGCGAACGGACGAGAAGCUUGCUUCUCUGAUGUUAGCGGCGGACGGGUGAGUAACACGUGGAUAACCUACCUAUAAGACUGGGAUAACUUCGGGAAACCGGAGCUAAUACCGGAUAAUAUUUUGAACCGCAUGGUUCAAAAGUGAAAGACGGUCUUGCUGUCACUUAUAGAUGGAUCCGCGCUGCAUUAGCUAGUUGGUAAGGUAACUGCUUACCAAGGCAACGAUGCAUAGCCGACCUGAGAGGGUGAUCGGCCACACUGGAACUGAGACACGGUCCAGACUCCUACGGGAGGCAGCAGUAGGGAAUCUUCCGCAAUGGGCGAAAGCCUGACGGAGCAACGCCGCGUGAGUGAUGAAGGUCUUCGGAUCGUAAAACUCUGUUAUUAGGGAAGAACAUAUGUGUAAGUAACUGUGCACAUCUUGACGGUACCUAAUCAGAAAGCCACGGCUAACUACGUG